UGCUCCGGUGGUCUAGUGGUUAAAGCGACCGCCUCGGAAGCGGGAGUUCGCGGGUUCGAUACCCUGCCGAGUUA